CCUCACUACAACAUUUACGUAAACAAUUAGUCUUCUACCAGACACUACGUCUUGCACUUGAUUAACUGUCAAACCAUGAACAGUACCAUUCUGUCUGAAACUGACAAGUCAUGUGAUCUGACAGUUAAUAACGUACUAAUAUAUAACAAAUUCAAACAAAAAAAACAUUCAUUGUAAUAAAUAUUUCAUAGACUUGUUGUUGUGGCUUGGGUGUGAUAAUAUUCAAUGUGUCUCACUUUAGGCCACAUCCAUCUGUAAUAUCAUAUGGACUUUAAUCAUAUAAAUAUUAAUUACUUAUUACUAUUAAUAAUAAUUAUUAUUAAUAAUAGUUAUAUUAUGACUUACAUUUUCCUAGAAACCUCUCUCUAGCUGGCCCCUCUAUAAAUACACCAAUAUUUCUUCACCAUUAUCCUUCAAUUCUCCCUCUCAAAUUCUCUCUUUCUCAUAUUUUUUUUUCUCUUAUUUUCUUCCAUUGAUUUGGGAAAUUAUACACUACAUUGACGUGCACCACUAGUUGAUGAAGCUGCCAGCAUGAUCUCAACUUGCUUUAUUGAUCAACCAAUCAUUUCAUCAUUGAUCAUCAUCAUCAUCUCAUCAAGAUUAGAUCAUGCUGGUAGCUUCAUCUUUUGAUGGGAUCACGAUAACUACAACAUAUAACAAGAGUCAUUAAAUCAUCAUUAUCACAUAAUUAUUGAAGUACGGUCAGAACUUACUCAACAAAAUAUCAAGCCACCCCGGCCGACGGCCGAUUUAAACGGUUGCAUUAUUUUGUUUGCAUAUAUGAACGGACUUUGAUCGAGCUUUGGUUGUUUGAAGAUGGAAUCUCGGGUAUCUUUGCAAGAGGGUUUUUUUUUUUUUUUUGGUCAACAUCUUGGCUAGAGAAUAAAAGAAACAGAAAAAAGUGCAAAAAGAAAAGUGGAAAAGGGUAAUACUCCUUUAAGCUUUUUAUGUAUACAAAUAAUUUAAUUAUUACAAUAUAAUAUAAUAUUAUUUAUAUUAUAUUAUAUUAGUUUUAAUUUUAAUAAAAAAUCGAAACCCUUUUAUUAAGGAUAAUGCUUGUUUAUUGUUUCAUGGAGAAUCAUGCAAAUGUCGCCUAGUGAGAGACGGAUCAUGUCUCAGAUUAGAAUGGUUAAUUAAUGUUUAGGGACAAGAUUAGAUUACUAACUAUAAUGUCACGACAAUACCAUCUUCUGUUAAUGUAGUACGUUCAAUUAACUAAUCAUGAUUAAUUCAUUAAACACUAGACAUUAUUGCUUACGUUGUUUUAUAACGUUUGUUGUUCAUUUGUCAAGUAGCUUUAGCCAUGCAAGUAGAAGGUUCACCAUUAUUUAAGAAUUUGUUUAAAGCCUUUAAAUGUCACUUAUUUCUUCAAUACACAUUGGUUGUUUAAUGCUUAACUAGCUCUUGAGCCCUUUUAAAGAACGGACAGUACGUUAUACUACGCAUAUAUUAUGGGUUCUUAGUCGUAUUUUAGAGUUCUGAUUGAGUGUUUGUGAUUGUAGUUGUAAUAUAUGAUUUAAAUAGAGUGGAAUUUGAAGGUUUAAAGAAUAUAUUGCGCGUUAAAGGGGGGAGAUGGAGUGGCAAAGACUUAUGUUUAUACUGGCUACUGCUGAAUUCACGUUGAAUCUGGAAGAUGAAUUGGAAGCGGCGUUGGAGUUUGUUGUAAAAUACAAAGUAGUAACAAACAACAAAAAGAAAAUUGAAAAAACAAAAAACAAAUUGGUGGAUGAAAGAAGAGAUCGUUGACACAUGACAUCUAAACAUUAAUAGUUUCGAUUUUUAAUUACUAGUUAUAAACUAGAUAUAGAUGUUCCAAAAUACACACGAUAUUACGUGGGUUUAUUAGUCGUCAAUAUUGUAGCAUUCUUAUUUUAGAAUACAAAAAUAAAGGCAAAAACUUUGUAAUUAAGUUACACGAAAAUAUCGAUCACUUGUUUGA